ensembl:lncRNA
AUGAUGUAUCACAGGUCUUUCCCCUUCACUGAAGCACUAAGCAAUGACGUCAGGGCAGGGAUGGCAUCAGAUGGACGCUGGUGUCAGGGACAAAUGCUUGCUGUUGUUCAGCAGGGGGAGGGGUCAGGACACACCAUUACAUCAUCAACCAGCAGUAGCAGCAACAACAACAACAACAUAGGCCGUGGUAUUGAUGGCAGACACACAAACCCCUGCUCACAGCCAGCCAGCUCCACUGACAACACUAGGGUUAACAUUACACUAAGCUACAUUACGGACAGAGCUUCCUGUGAUGUGGCCAAUUCAAUUUAAAUUCAAUUGCUGUAUAUUCAAGAUAGUGGGGAUUUCAGGUAAUUCCUGGUAUGUUCACAGGUUUCUCUUUAAUUGCAUAGUGGCACAACAUAUAAAGUUAUUUUAUGAGCUGCAGAUUCUGAAAUAUCAUUCUUAUGCCUAUUCCAUGAGCUAGUCCUAAACUCAAAGUGAAAUUUUAGGAUGAUCAUAAGAAUGUGAAGUCCCAAACCAAUCCCUAAACCCAAUACUAAAACAUGAUUGGUUGACACGAAUGUUGUACUACAACCAACCAGGAUGUAUAUCCAGAAUCUGGUUUGCAACAUUUCCAGAUGCCAUUCGAUCAUCUUUUGCUCAUCAAUUCCAGUUGUCUCUCUACAAUGCCUUUUAAAAGUAGAAAAUGUCCAAAGUAUGAGUAUUUGGUUUUGCUGUAUGACAGUGAAAUCAAUUUCUGUGUGGCUGAAUAUGAAUCUGUGCAUAUUUUGUACGAGCCAGUUCAAACACUUAUGCUUUGACUCACAGUGGCUUUAAAUGACUACUGCAAAAAAA